UGAGGCCUUCGGACUGGCUCAGGGAGGUCGGCAACGACCACCCAGAGCCGGAAAGUUGGUCAAACUCGGUCAUUUAGAGGAAGUAAAAGUCGUAACAAGGUCUCCGUAGGUGAACCUGCGGAGGGAUCAUUA
rnacentral:rRNA from 5 species